rnacentral:lncRNA from 1 species
UUCUCGCUAGGAGGAAAUUAACCUGCACUUUCAAAUGCUUAAGUUGCCUCUCCUAAGAGCCUCUACUUUGAAGUAGUUUCCCCCCGUACAAUUAAGUAAUGAAGAAACCGACCGAUACAGAGCUAAUUCCGAAUGACGGAUCCUUGAUUUUCCCUGACAUUCGGAGCUCUGUAACUAUGCUCUUCCUUUGACCGGAGUUUUUCUCUAUUGCCGAGUAGUGUUACUUCCCCUUCUAAUGCUCCUUUUUCUAAUAAUCAACUUUUUAUUUGAAGAUGAGAUGAAGAACAAAGCCCAUAUGAGUCAUAAAUAUUUCUGAAUUCUCUUGUGAUAGGUCAAAAAAUUGAGGAAGACAUAAUUAGCAGCUGAAGAAUGACUCAGAUCAUCAGUAGUGAAUAAGAAUGAUUAGGGGGAAAU